rnacentral:rRNA from 1 species
AUGGCGCCCGAGGUGCACCUCGACCCCGUCGUCGACCCAGCCGCUGCCGGCGAGCAGCAGCAACCAGCAGAGUCCGCCCCGGUGCUCCUUGCCGCCUCCGCCUCUGCCUCUGGGCCAGCUUUGCCUCUGCCGGCCUCUCCCUGCACUAGCAGGCCUUGGCCCAAUGUAACAUCGUGUUGUGAGGAUUCGUUCGACUACAUCCGUUUGUCUUCUUCAUGGACUCGUUAUUCUUCCUUGCGGGAUCUCAGGAACCAAGCUCAGGAGGAGCUCGAUGAAGAUCUUGUCCUUUGUGUUGUUUCGUUCUAG